GAUUUUCAGAAAAUAUGGUUUUAUAAAAAUAAAAUAUUUAUUAAUUUGCUAACAGGUCCCUCAGUUAAUUAGUUACCACAGUAAAAGUAAUACCCUCAUUUGAAUUGAUGUGACUAUUGAUGUUCCCUCUGUUUUGAUAACUGAUACACUUCAAUAUUUUCAUCAUUUCUCAACACCAUCUUCAUCCUUCCCAAAGCAGAACAUUCCAGAGAAAGAGAAGUGUGAGAGACUGAGUGGCGGAGACGACGAGAGUGAUCGACGGUGGAACGGCGGUGGAACGCGACGACGAGGACCGACGGUGGAACGCGACGACGUGAGAGAAGAAGGCGCCAGCGACCUACGAGAUGAGUCAAACAAGUGCUUAUGGCCCUUACACACCUGGUUUCAAUACUGUGAUAAAGUUAAACCUGGAUGACGUGGAAGUUCCAGUAGAGUUUAUUGCACAAUACAAAUCUAUGCUGGGAAAUCAUGUUGUGGUUAGGGAUCCUGUAGGGGGGGAGUUCACCUUUCAGUUGGUUGUGGGUAAUAAUGGAG